ACUCCUACGGGAGGCAGCAGUGAGGAAUAUUGGUCAAUGGAGGCAACUCUGAACCAGCCAUCGCCGCGUGCAGGAAGAAUGCCCUAUGGGUUGUAAAACUGCUUUUAUAUGGGAAGAAACCCCAUGAACCGUGUUCGGGGCUGACGGUACCAUAUGAAUAAGCACCGGCUAACUCCGUGCCAGCAGCCGCGGUAAUACGGAGGGUGCAAGCGUUAUCCGGAUUUAUUGGGUUUAAAGGGUGCGCAGGCGGAAUUGUAAGUCAGUGGUGAAACGCC
rnacentral:rRNA from 1 species